UUAAAUAAUGUGCACUUGUUGUAAAUAUGGACGAACAUUCAAGUUGUUGGGUGGUAAUUGGUAUUGCAUUAGUGUGGCAAUCCUUGAUAAUAGCCAACAUACACGG
rfam:Beta vulgaris subsp. vulgaris chromosome 6, whole genome shotgun sequence.